rnacentral:rRNA from 1 species
AAUGAACGUUGGCGGCGUGGAUUAGGCAUGCGAGUCGAGCGAGAACCGUAGCAAUACGGGGACAGCGGCGAAAGGGACAGUAACGGGUAGAUUAUCUGCCCUCGGGUUUGGGAUAGCUGCGGGAAACUGCAAGUAAUACCAAAUAAUAUCUCCGAAUCAAAGGUGUGAUUCCGCCUGAGGAUGAGUCUGCCUCCUAUUAGCUAGUUGGUGGGGUAACGGCCUACCAAGGCGUUGAUGGGUAGCGGGUGUGAGAGCACGACCCGCGUCAUUGGGACUGAGACACUGCCCAGACACCUACGGGUGGCUGCAGUCGAGAAUCUUCGGCAAUGGACGCAAGUCUGACCGAGCGACGCCGCGUGUGGGAUGAAGGCCUUCGGGUUGUAAACCACUGUCAGAGGGGAUGAAAUGCAGGUGGGUUCUCCCAUCUGUUUGACAUAGCCUCAGAGGAAGUACGGGCUAAGUUCGUGCCAGCCGCCGCCGUAA